rnacentral:rRNA from 1 species
UUCCUACGGGGCGCAGCAGUAGGGAAUAUUGCUCAAUGGGGGAAACCCUGAAGCAGCAACGCCGCGUGGAGGAUGAAGGUUUUCGGAUUGUAAACUCCUUUUGUUAGAGAAGAUAAUGACGGUAUCUAACGAAUAAGCACCGGCUAACUACGUGCCAGCAGCCGCGGUAAUACGUAGGUGGCAAGCGUUGUCCGGAAUUACUGGGUGUAAAGGGAGCGCAGGCGGGAAGCCAAGUCAGCUGUGAAAACUACGGGCUUAACUUGUAGACUGCAGUUGAAACUGGUUUUCUUGAGUGAAGUAGAGGG